GGCACUGUAGCUCAGCGGUGGAACAUCUGCUUUCCAUGCAGAAGGUCCUAGUUUCAAUUCACCAAUAUUUCCAGGUAGGGCUA